UCGUGAAGGUGGAGGUGAGAGGGCUUAU
rnacentral:piRNA from 1 species